UAGGGGUUCUGAGAGGAAGGUCCCCCACACUGGUACUGAGACACGGACCAAACUCCUACGGGAGGCAGCAGUGAGGAAUAUUGGUCAAUGGUCGGGAGACUGAACCAGCCAAGCCGCGUGAGGGAGGAAGGUACAGAGUAUCGUAAACCUCUUUUGUCAGGGAACAAAGGCGGGGACGUGUCCCCGGAUGAGUGUACCUGAAGAAAAAGCAUCGGCUAACUCCGUGCCAGCAGCCGCGGUAAUACGUAGGGGGCAAGCGUUAUCCGGAUUUACUGGGUGUAAAGGGAGCGUAGACGGUGAAGUAAGUCUGGAGUGAAAGGCGGGGGCCCAACCCCCGGACUGCUCUGGAAACUAUUUGACUGGAGUGCAGGAGAGGUAGGCGGAAUUCCUAGUGUAGCGGUGAAAUGCGUAGAUAUUAGGAGGAACACCAGUGGCGAAGGCGGCUUGCUGGACGAUGACUGACGUUGAGGCUCGAAAGCGUGGGGAGCAAACAGGAUUAGAUACCCUGGUAGUCCACGCAGUAAACGAUGAAUGCUGGCUGUCCGGGGGGACUGACCCCUGGGUGGCGAAGCGAAAGCGAUAAGCAUUCCACCUGGGGAGUACGCCGGCAACGGUGAAACUCAAAGGAAUUGACGGGGGCCCGCACAAGCGGAGGAACAUGUGGUUUAAUUCGAUGAUACGCGAGGAACCUUACCCGGGAUUGAAAUGUAGAUGACUGAUGGUGAAAACCGUCUUCCCUUCGGGGCUUCUAUGUAGGUGCUGCAUGGUUGUCGUCAGCUCGUGUCGUGAGAUGUUGGGUUAAGUCCCGCAACGAGCGCAACCCUUAUUGUUAGUUGCUACGCAAGAGCACUCUAGCGAGACUGCCGUUGACAAAACGGAGGAAGG
rnacentral:rRNA from 1 species